rnacentral:rRNA from 1 species
GCAGGGUGCGAGCGUUAAUCGGAAUUACUGGGCGUAAAGCGUGCGCAGGCGGUUAUAUAAGACAGAUGUGAAAUCCCCGGGCUCAACCUGGGACCUGCAUUUGUGACUGUAUAGCUAGAGUACGGUAGAGGGGGAUGGAAUUCCGCGUGUAGCAGUGAAAUGCGUAGAUAUGCGGAGGAACACCGAUGGCGAAGGCAAUCCCCUGGACCUGUACUGACGCUCAUGCACGAAAGCGUGGGGAGCAAACAGGAUUAGAUACCCUGGUAGUCCACGCCCUAAACGAUGUCAACUGGUUGUUGGGUCUUCACUGACUCAGUAACGAAGCUAACGCGUGAAGUUGACCGCCUGGGGAGUACGGCCGCAAGGUUG